UGCAAAUUGCAAAAACGAUGCGCAAGCUUCACACAACCGUGUUUCGCGCACGGUGUUGACAUUUUGGUAAUAAAGGUCAGUAUAUUUCUUUCAUAACAUAAGCCUAAAACUUGACGUGAAGACGUGAAGAGACUUUGUUUUUUAUAUGCUGAAUAUUCGGCAACACUGCCAAAGCCAUAUGUUCUGCGCCUUUGUUUUCUUUUGCUAUCAGUUAUCGUUCCUCAACAACUACAUUAAAUAUUUAAUUUUUAAGUAAGGUUUUACUCUCGAAAAUCUAGGUUGUAUAGAAUGAACAUUGUUAAUUUUUCUCAUUUUGUGAUUUGCUGUUCCUACCUUACCCAAAUUUAACUAAUUCAACGUGUUUUAUCAUUUGACAAAUGUAGGCAUAGUGCAUCGAACUGGCUAGAGAAAGCUAAUCAGUAGUGCAUUCACAUUAGUUAGAGGCAUUAUUAAGUAAUUACUUAUUUCUAAUCUAGAUCGUCUCGUGUAGCACUGUCCAAAACUGGUUUCUGUGCCUCUACAAAUGUGACGCACGGAAUGUGUCGUAAUUUAGGUUAAAGAAAUGUAUGUCGAGUAGAUUUUCGAAAUAUGGAGUUCAGUGAGUUCAGCUUUCUAUUUCUUAUCUUGCAACUGUAAGUAAUCACCUCACCACGUUUGAGACCUCAAGAACCAGGUGCAUUCCUGCUUCUUAUACAGUUAGCAACUAGAUUAUUACUUACGAGGGUUAUUAACUACUGAUGACACUAGGAACCGAAAUAUAAAACUAUUUAAUGAUGAGCUGACAGCACAUAUUGCAGAUGUACCUAUCUCUGGACAAUUGUACUUAUUGAUCAUUGAUAUAGACCCUAGUUUUAUUCCCGAUUUCUGACUCAUCUUCAGACCAAAGGUCAUCAGAAUGCUUUUAAAGUUUGCCUUUACCACGGCUGCUGAUCUAAUCCAAGAGGCAAAUAAUUUCUCUCUGCUGCAACUAUUGGGGUGUCGUAAGAAAGAAAAAGAAUGCGAAAUGGACUUCAUUCUGUUGUUACCUGAGGAAGUAUCCCUUAUGAUUUUAGAGCAGCUGAAUGGACAAUCAUUACUAGCCUGUAGCCGUGUUUGCCGAAGGUGGAAUAACUUCUGUAAUUCGCAUGAAUCUCUGAGGAGCAUUAUUGAAGAGGAAAAGCGAUUUGCAGCUAUGAGGCGAACUUUCAAAUCCUAUGAGCGAGGUGUUGACCAAGCCAUCUAUCUCAGUUUAAUCUACGACUACCUGUUUGAGAUAUGUCAAGCAACACAGUUUUUUAUGAAAAUACCGUACCGUGCUAUCUCUUUAUUAAAAUCAUGA
rnacentral:lncRNA from 1 species